rnacentral:rRNA from 1 species
CCUACGGGUGGCAGCAGUAGGGAAUAUUGCUCAAUGGGGGAAACCCUGAAGCAGCAACGCCGCGUGGAGGAUGAAGGUUUUCGGCUUGUAAACCCCUUUUGUUAGAGAAGCUAAUGACGGUAUCUUACGAAUAAGCACCGGCUAACUCCGUGCCAGCAGCCGCGGUAAUACGGAGGGUGCAAGCGUUACCCGGAAUCACUGGGCGUAAAGGGCGCGUAGGCGGGAUAGCAAGUCAGAUGUGAAAUCCUAGGGCUUAACCAUAGUACUGCAUUUGAAACUGUUAGUCUAGAGUAUGGGAGAGGUAGGCGGAAUUCUUGGUGUAGCGGUGAAAUGCGUAGAGAUCAAGAGGAAUACUGAUUGCGAAGGCGACCUGCUAGAACAUAACUGACGCUGAUGCGCGAAAGCGUGGGGAGCAAACAGGAUUAGAUACCCCAGUAGUC